AAGGGAUAUUCUGGAAGAAUAGGUACUUAUAUUUUUGGAAUUUAAAAGGUUUUGUUUUGGGAUUUUAGGGUGUAUAGAACUUAGAGCAAGCACUAUGGUGUGGAAAUCUUUUAUUUCCAAGGUGGUAAAGCAACUACUAUGGUUGUUAUUCACCAUGGAAGGAACAUUUCAGGCGACAUUGUAGCUGUAGGGAACAGUUCCAUCAAGCGAAAGACUGUUCUGAUGGGAAUUUAUGUUGAAAUUCAGUUACUUUUAAUGAGAUUGUGGAUGGAUGUAGGAUAAUUGCUUAUCCAGACAUUCAUCAUCAAUUAUCUUAAAAAGGGGUCUUAUAAGUAAAUGGAUUAAAGCGACUUUCUCGUCCGUCAUUGUCUGCAUGGAAAUGUUCCCUGCGACAUUCUAGGAUAUGUGGAGGAUUUGUUGAAAAGAGUUUAUUCAAGGUGAAAAGGAACCAGAGUGGUUACUUUUCCAUAGAAAACAUCUUGGGAGGGAAGAUGUCCAUGGCAUAGUGCUUGCUCUUAGAAAUGAUAGUAUGUUGAGUCAUUUGAUCAAGUUGUUUCUGUUGCAUGAAAACUAGAAUAUUGCAGCCUAGUUCAUCAGUCAAAUUUUUGACAGUGACUAACAAAUUUAUACACUUUCAAUACCAUGAUAAUGCAUCCAGAAAGGACUGUCCAGAUGGGGAAAGAUGUUUAGAUUUAGCUGCUUUUAGUGGUGUUGUGACUUGACAAGUAAAUGUCUGCAUGUAGGAUAACUGUUUAUCCAAACAUUUAAUGUGCAGAUUUUUCCAUGGAAUUAUCACAGUGCUUGGACACAGGAAGACACUUAUGACUGAUGUGUCAGGGAAAAAUCUGUAUUGCAGGUAGAAUUCCACGGAAUUCUUUCCGACAUAUAGCUAGGCAGUAGAUUUUUUCCAUAUGCCAGGUAGUAUGGUUUAACCUAGGAAACAUCCGGACAGCCGGGAUAGCAAAAUUAGAGAGUUUUAAUAUUGUCACAACACGUACCAUCAGUUCUCUCAAAAAGAUGUUUUCAAAGAAAACGGAGAGAAAUGUUAGAGUUUUCUCUAACAAGAAAAUGGAGCUUCAAGGGGUAAUUGACAAAGCUAAAUUCUGUUUCUUCCCUUGGGCGUUGUGUUUUUAUGAGUUUCAGCAGGUGUCUUUUGAUUCAGUCAUAAACAACUGGAAUGUGGUGUACUUUCAUCCUCCCUAGGCUCUUAGGCUUUUUUUUAUCUUUUCUUUCUUUCUUUCUUUCUUUCUUUCUUUUGUGUUGCUGUUUCUCUCUUCUUUCUCUUCCGUAUGUUUUCCCCGUGGGUUGUACAAGUCUUUUGUGCCCCCUUUUUUGAUCAAUGGAAUUCUUUACUUUGGGGAUCAAAAAUAAAAAGUAAAGAAAACGUAGAAACUAUCCCAUGGGGACAGAAAAUCCAACGUUUUAGGCAUCCUCAAAACAUUACUGGAAAAAUAGUGUGUCCAAGAUGAAAAACAGCCAUAGUGGUUUCUUUUCCAUAGAAGAUCUCAUGCCGUCAUGUUUGCUAUUAGAAGUGAUAGAAUGUAUAUCAUUCAGUCAUCUGAUCAAAAUUGUUUUUCUUGCAAGGAAACUUAUAAUUUGCAGAGUAGUUUGUUACUGCUACAACUUUAGCAAAAGUUAAAUUGGCCACUGUACUCAGCAAAGAACAGGUUGAGGAAGUAAUAGCCAAGAUAAUCGUGAAAGCAAGAACUGGGGAGAUUGCUGACGGCUAGAUCUUUGGUAAGACUUUAUGUUCUUUUCCUAUGAAUUAAUUUUCCUUACGUGGGCAUUUCUAUAACGACUGAUGAUUUUUUUUAACUGUACUAUGCAAUAUUAUGCUUCUAUUAUGUGAAUGUGAUUUCUUAGCAAAAAGAUGUAUGUGUAUAUAAAGAACCUUUGAAGAAUCACCUAAUAAUCAUUUUAGUUUAGAGCUACUAAAGUAAGAAGGGCAACAGCAAGAAUAAUGAAUGAGAGGUGGCAUACCUAGCACAAUACAUCCUUGUAUAACCUGUCAAUCUCCAGCGAAUACAUAAAACGUGAAGAAGUUAAAACAGGAGAAACACGUGCAAACUACAUGUUUUUGUGGAUAAUCUCUACCACUGCAUCUCCUCCUUAUAUUUUGUACGAUAGUUACUACGCCAGUGAACAAAGCUCAGCAGAACCAAAGAUCCAACUAGGCAAUUCUAAUUUCACAAUAAACUUUGUAUGGUUUAAAGCUUGAUUGCACUAAAGCUUUACCGAGUUGCGAAAUUCAUAUUAACAUGACUUUAUUGUGUGUGCACUCCUGUUUUAGAUACAAUAAGAAUUCAUAUGCCUACGCUUUUUUAUCCUUA